UACGUAGGGAGCAAGCGUUGUUCGGAUUUACUGGGCGUAAAGGGCGCGUAGGCGGCGCGGUAAGUCACUUGUGAAAUCUCUGAGCUUAACUCAGAACGGCCAAGUGAUACUGCAGUGCUAGAGUGCAGAAAGGGCAAUCGGAGUUCUUGGUGUAGCGGUGAAAUGCGUAGAUAUCAAGAGGAACACCUGAGGCGAAGGCGGGUUGCUAGGCUGACACUGACGCUGAGGCGCGAAAGCCAGGGGAGCAAACAGG
rnacentral:rRNA from 1 species